AUUGAACGCUGGCGGCAUGCUUUACACAUGCAAGUCGAACGGUAACAGGCCGCAAGGUGCUGACGAGUGGCGAACGGGUGAGUAAUGCAUCGGAACGUGCCCAGUCGUGGGGGAUAACGCAGCGAAAGCUGCGCUAAUACCGCAUACGAUCUAUGGAUGAAAGCGGGGGACCGUAAGGCCUCGCGCGAUUGGAGCGGCCGAUGUCAGAUUAGGUAGUUGGUGGGGUAAAGGCUCACCAAGCCAACGAUCUGUAGCUGGUCUGAGAGGACGACCAGCCACACUGGGACUGAGACACGGCCCAGACUCCUACGGGAGGCAGCAGUGGGGAAUUUUGGACAAUGGGCGCAAGCCUGAUCCAGCAAUGCCGCGUGCAGGAAGAAGGCCUUCGGGUUGUAAACUGCUUUUGUACGGAACGAAACGGUCCUGGUUAAUACCCGGGGCUAAUGACGGUACCGUAAGAAUAAGCACCGGCUAACUACGUGCCAGCCGCCGCGGUAAAAC
rnacentral:rRNA from 1 species